AUUGAACGCUGGCGGCAGGCCUAACACAUGCAAGUCGAGCGGCAGCGGGAAAGUAGCUUGCUACUUUUGCCGGCGAGCGGCGGACGGGUGAGUAAUGCCUGGGGAUCUGCCCAGUCGAGGGGGAUAACUACUGGAAACGGUAGCUAAUACCGCAUGCGCCCUACGGGGGAAAGCAGGGGACCUUCGGGCCUUGCGCGAUUGGAUGAACCCAGGUGGGAUUAGCUAGUUGGUGAGGUAAUGGCUCACCAAGGCGACGAUCCCUAGCUGGUCUGAGAGGAUGAUCAGCCACACUGGAACUGAGACACGGUCCAGACUCCUACGGGAGGCAGCAGUGGGGAAUAUUGCACAAUGGGGGAAACCCUGAUGCAGCCAUGCCGCGUGUGUGAAGAAGGCCUUCGGGUUGUAAAGCACUUUCAGCGAGGAGGAAAGGUUGGUAGCUAAUAACUGCCAGCUGUGACGUUACUCGCAGAAGAAGCACCGGCUAACUCCGUGCCAGCCGCCGCCGUAACAC
rnacentral:rRNA from 1 species